UACGGAGGGUGCAAGCGUUAUCCGGAUUUACUGGGUUUAAAGGGUGUGUAGGCGGGCUUUUAAGUCAGUGGGGAAAUCUCCGGGCUCAACCCGGAAACUGCCAUUGAUACUAUUAGUCUUGAAUUUUGUUGAGGUAGGCGGAAUAAGUCAUGUAGCGGUGAAAUGCUUAGAUAUGACUUAGAACACCAAUUGCGAAGGCAGCUUGCUAAACAAACAUUGACGCUGAGGCACGAAAGCGUGGGGAUCAAGCAGG
rnacentral:rRNA from 1 species